rnacentral:rRNA from 1 species
AGCGCAUGCAGGCGGUUUAUUAAGCCAGAUGUGAAAGCCCCGGGCUUAACCUGGGAAUUGCAUUUGGAACUGGUAAACUAGAGUCUUGUAGAGGGGGGUAGAAUUUCAGGUGUAGCGGUGAAAUGCGUAGAGAUCUGAAGGAAUACCGGUGGCGAAGGCGGCCCCCUGGACAAAGACUGACGCUCAGAUGCGAAAGCGUGGGGAGCAAACAGGAUUAGAUACCCUGGUAGUCCACGCCGUAAACGAUGUCUACUUGAAGGUUGUGAUCUUGAAUCGUGGCUUUCGGAGCUAACGCGUUAAGUAGACCGCCUGGGGAGUACGGUCGCAAGAUUAAAACUCAAAUGAAUUGACGGGGGCCCGCACAAGCGGUGGAGCAUGUGGUUUAAUUCGAUGCAACGCGAAGAACCUUACCUACUCUUGACAUCCAGAGAACCUUUUAGAGAUAGAAGGGUGCCUUCGGGAACUCUGAGACAGGUGCUGCAUGGCUGUCGUCAGCUCGUGUUGUGAAAUGUUGGGUUAAGUCCCGCAACGAGCGCAACCCUUAUCCUUGUUUGCCAGCACUUCGGGUGG